UAGGGAAUAUUGCGCAAUGGGGGAAACCCUGACGCAGCGACGCCGCGUGAGUGAUGAAGGCCUUCGGGUCGUAAAGCUCUGUCGUAUGGGACUAACAAAAUGAAGGUACCAUGCAAGAAAGGAUCGGCUAACUUCGUGCCAGCAGCCGCGGUAAGACGAGGGAUCCUAGCGUUGUUCGGAAUUAUUGGGCGUAAAGCGGGUGUAGGCGGACUUAUAAGUCAGGUGUGAAAUCCCAGGGCUCAACCCUGGAAGUGCACUUGAUACUGCAAGUCUUGAAUGUGGUAGAGGUUACUGGAAUUCUUGGUGUAGUGGUGAAAUACGUAGAUAUCAAGAGGAACACCGGAGGCGAAGGCGGGUAACUGGGCCAACAUUGACGCUGAGACCCGAAAGCGUGGGGAUCAAACA
rnacentral:rRNA from 1 species